rnacentral:rRNA from 1 species
GAUGAACGCUGACAGAAUGCUUAACACAUGCAAGUCUUUGGCGAAUCUGUGCUUGCACAGGCUAGCCAAGGCGGACGGGUGAGUAGCGCGUAAAGAACUUGCCCUGCAGACAGGGAUAACGGACGGAAACGACUGAUAACACCUGAUACAGUUGCCGGCACGCAUGUGCCUGGCAAUGAAAAGAGAUGCUGCAGGAGAGCUUUGCGUCCUAUUAGCUUGUUGGUGAGGUGACGGCUCACCAAGGCGAUGAUAGGUAGCCGGCCUGAGAGGGGGAACGGCCACAAGGGGACUGAGAUACGGCCCUUACUCCUACGGGAGGCAGCAGUGGGGAAUAUUGGACAAUGGGGGCAACCCUGAUCCAGCAAUUCUGUGUGCACGAAGAAGGUUUUCGGAUGGUAAAGUGCUUUCAGCAGGGAAGAAGAAAGUGACGGUACCUGCAGAAGAAGCGACGGCUAAAUACGU